UAAUCGUAAAUUACAUCAAUUUGAAACUGUGGAACGAUUCGGUAUUUAGAUUAUUCAUGUGCAUAUAUAUUGUUAUGUUUCACUAUCAUUGUUUCGUUUUGAUUUUAGUACAUACAUGUUUAGUAUUGAGGAUGACUGAUUUCUUUACGACCAUUUCAAACCAUGUAAUUAAAAUAGCUUUUAUUGUGUUUUACAAAAUAAGACUUGAAGUCAAUCAUUAGAUCGCGAUUUGUGCAUAUACUUUUAAAGUGUUAUAGCUAGGUUUUACCAAAGGCAAACAAAGUUCCCAAAACUUAAUAUCACUUGGGAUCGAAUGUUCGCUUUUCUAUGUUUCCUUAUGAUUUUUAAAAAGAAAAUAUCUUUUUUUUUAGGAUAAUCAACAUAGAUUUCAGAUAUGUAUUACUAUAUAUCUCAAUAUCAAAAAAGUGGAAU
rnacentral:lncRNA from 1 species